GCAUAUCAAUAAGCGGAGGAAAAGAAAAUAACAAUGAUUCCCUUAGUAACGGCGGGCGAAGGGGGAAUAGCUCAAAUUUUAAAUCCGUUAGGUUUUACCUAGCCGAGUUGUAAUUUGAAGAAGCGCUUUCAGCGAUUUCGUAUUAGCCCAAAUCCUUUGGGAUAAGGUAUCAUGGAGGGUUAGAAUCCCGUCCGGCUAAAUCGAUUUUGCACUACGAUUCGCUUUCUAAGAGUCGAAUUGUUUGGGAUUGCAGCUCAAAAUGGGAGGUAAAUUUCUCCUAAGGCUAAAUAACGGCGAGAGACCGAUAGCGAACAAGUACCGUGAGGGAAAGAUGAAAAGAACUUUGAAAAGAGAGUAAAACAGUACGUGAAAUUGUUGAAAGGGAAACGAUUAAAGUCAGUCCUACUGACGGGGAAUCAUCCACUUGAGGAUGGGUUCGUGGGAUUCAAAGAGCCUUUGUUUUCGCGGUAUCUGUUUUUUUUUGGUGUACUUUCUCGUAUUUGUAGGUCAACGUCGGUUUCGAUAGUUGCAAAAUGAUCGGAGGAAUGUGGCUUCGACCUAGGUUGAAGUGUUAUAGACUCUGUUAGACGCAACUAUCGGGACCGAGGAUUGCAACGGAUGCCCGUCAGGGCUAUUCGCCUGGUCUCUGAUCGUGGCCCUGGCGUCGAAAGCGUGCUUACGAUGUUAGAGUGCGCGGUCAAAAGGUUAGAACGGAUUAAAUUCGUUAAGGAUGUUGACGUA
rnacentral:rRNA from 1 species